rnacentral:tRNA from 1 species
GCCCUUUUAACUCAGGGGUAGAGUAACGCCAUGGUAAGGCGUAAGAAAUCGGUUCAAACCCAAUAAAGGGCU